rnacentral:lncRNA from 1 species
UCUCUAGGAUUUUGGCGUCUUUUUGUGAGCUUGGCAGCCAUGGCUACGUUGAUCUCUCCCCAUCCUUUGGCUGUGGGAGAGGUAAUUCAAAACCAUAUAAAAACUGAUCCAAAAGAAAACACAAAGCAACCGUAUGCUACAACAUUACAAGCAAAACAGUCUGCUCCGUAAAAAAUAGAGUUGUGUCCAGUUAUCUUCGAUCAUGGUGAACCUGUAAUACAAUUCACAAUGG